rnacentral:rRNA from 1 species
AUGAGAGUUCAUACAACCUUUCAUGAGCGGAGAAAGUUUCCGCCCUACAAGUUUGCGAGCGCUCGUCGGAUCAACUCAAUCCAAAAGAGAUGGGGGUUCAUUCAACAAGAAUACAACAAGUUUGGUGCUGUGCUUGAGAGCGUUGAAACAUGUCCCGUGAGUGGCCUAGGUGUGGGUGACUUGGCAUUCCAAUCUAUAAAAGUCUUCAAGGCCCAACAUAAGAACACGCCAUUCACUCUCACCCAUUGUUGGACGCUUGUCAAAGAUUGUCCCAAGUUCAAAGAUCAAUAUGCCGCUCUAAAGAAGAAAGGAGGGCCAACGGCCCUGGCUGAGGAUGGAGAUGUGGUGAAGAGGCCGAGGGGCAAGACCAACUCAAAAAUUGAUGAGAAUCUUGAUGCGACAUCUUUUGCCUUGCAAGAAACUUUGCACGGCAUGUUGACUUCAAAGAAAGUGAGGGGCGAGAGGAAGCACCAAGGAAAGGAGGAGCAAAUGAAGAUAUACUUGGAACUCCAAACGAAGAAGUUUGACAUGAAGAAGGCCGUCAAGAGGAGGAGGCUCGACAUGAAGGAGGCCGUCCAAACAAAGAAGCUCGCGAUCGAGGCCAUCAAUGCUGACACAAAAGCAAAAAAGGUGGCGUUAACAAUCAUGAGCGUGGACUUGACCAACUUAUCUUCAAAAAGAAGAAGUUGGUUUGAGAACCGGCAAAAGAAGAUGUUCGACCAAGAUGACAUGAAUUAG